rnacentral:lncRNA from 1 species
UAUAAAUCUCAAUUUAGAACACCUCAACCAAUUUAACUGUUUUAAUUUCAGGUUCACGUUUUCCAAAAUGCCUAAACUUCCACAGUUUGAGUUUGACUUCAUAAAUGCAAAUGACCCUGUUAGAAAGUGUUAGGCUGAAUGCAAGAAAAAUCACUCCAUACAAACAGUUAUUUGUCUCACUCUACCAAGUGGCAUUGACUGCAAAAAGGACUUAUUGGAGGUCAAGCUUUGCCCUAAACAUCUGCAGGGAAAGUCAAUGAAGUCCACACUUCAACAAAACACACAGAACCCACUGAAGUCAUUAGAAGAGUCUGAAGGAGGAGAGACAUCUGGAAAAUGCCACUAGAUCACUGAAGAAUGAAGAAGGUAAGGACAAAGAGAACAUUGCUUCCAUUAAUAUUCCCA